rnacentral:rRNA from 1 species
AGUUGAUCAUGGCUCAGGAUGAACGCUAGCGACAGGCUUAACACAUGCAAGUCGAGGGGCAGCAUAAAAGUAGCAAUACUUGGUGGCGACCGGCGCACGGGUGAGUAACGCGUAUGCAACCUACCUAUCAGAGGGGAAUAACCCGGCGAAAGUCGGACUAAUACCGCAUAAAACAGGGGCACCGCAUGGUGAUAUUUGUUAAAGAAAUUCGCUGAUAGAUGGGCAUGCGUUCCAUUAGGUAGUUGGUGAGGUAACGGCUCACCAAGCCGACGAUGGAUAGGGGAACUGAGAGGUUGGUCCCCCACACUGGUACUGAGACACGGACCAGACUCCUACGGGAGGCAGCAGUGAGGAAUAUUGGUCAAUGGGCGGGAGCCUGAACCAGCCAAGUCGCGUGAAGGAAAAGAAGGAUCUAUGGUUCGUAAACUUCUUUUGCAGGGGAAUAAAGUGCAGGACGUGUCCUGUUUUGUAUGUACCCUGAGAAUAAGGAUCGGCUAACUCCGUGCCAGCAGCUGC